AUUGAACGCUGGCGGCAGGUCUAACACAUGCAAGUCGAGCGGAUGAAGGGAGCUUGCUCCUGGAUUCAGCGGCGGACGGGUGAGUAAUGCCUAGGAAUCUGCCUGGUAGUGGGGGAUAACGUCCGGAAACGGGCGCUAAUACCGCAUACGUCCUGAGGGAGAAAGUGGGGGAUCUUCGGACCUCACGCUAUCAGAUGAGCCUAGGUCGGAUUAGCUAGUUGGUGGGGUAAAAGCCUACCAAGGCGACGAUCCGUAACUGGUCUGAGAGGAUGAUCAGUCACACUGGAACUGAGACACGGUCCAGACUCCUACGGGAGGCAGCAGUGGGGAAUAUUGGACAAUGGGCGAAAGCCUGAUCCAGCCAUGCCGCGUGUGUGAAGAAGGUCUUCGGAUUGUAAAGCACUUUAAGUUGGGAGGAAGGGCAGUAAGUUAAUACCUUGCUGUUUUGACGUUACCAACAGAAUAAGCACCGGCUAACUUCGUG
rnacentral:rRNA from 1 species